rnacentral:rRNA from 1 species
UAGUUAGUGGCGCACGGGUGCGUAACGCGUAUGCAACCUACCUUUUAUUGGGGGAUAGCCCGAAGAAAUUCGGAUUAAUACCGCAUAAUACUGUUUGAGGGCAUCUGAAGACAGUGAAAGCUACGGCGAUAAAAGAUGGGCAUGCGUGUCAUUAGCUAGUUGGUGUCAGGUAACGGCUCACCAAGGCGACGAUGACUAGGGGUUCUGAGAGGAUGAUCCCCCACACUGGUACUGAGAUACGGACCAGACUCCUACGGGAGGCAGCAGUAGGGAAUAUUGGGCAAUGGCGGAAACGCUGACCCAGCCAUGCCGCGUGCCGGAUGAAGGCCUUCUGGGUUGUAAACGGCUUUUACCAGGGAAGAAACUACCUUUGCGAAGGGAACUGACGGUACCUGGUGAAUAAGCACCGGCUAACUCCGUGCCAGCAGCCGCGGUAAUACGGAGGGUGCAAGCGUUGUCCGGAUUUAUUGGGUUUAAAGGGUGCGUAGGCGGCUUAGUAAGUCCGUGGUGAAAGCCAACAGCUCAACUGUUGAACUGCCAUGGAUACUGCUAGGCUUGAGUACAGACGAGGUAGGCGGAAUGGAUAGUGUAGCGGUGAAAUGCAUAGAUACUAUCCAGAACCCCGAUUGCGUAGGCAGCUUACUAGGCUGUAACUGACGCUGAGGCACGAAAGCGUGGGGAGCGAACAGGAUUAGAUACCCUGGUAGUCCACGCUGUAAACGAUGAUUACUCGAUGUUGGCGAUACACGG